GUGGGGAAUCUUCCGCAAUGGACGAAAGUCUGACGGAGCGACGCCGCGUGAGUGAAGAAGGCCUUCGGGUCGUAAAGCUCUGUCAUCAGGGACGAACGGCCGGUGGAGUGGAAAGCCACCGGAUUGACGGUACCUGAGAAGGAAGCCACGGCUAACUACGUGCCAGCAGCCGCGGUAAUACGUAGGUGGCAAGCGUUGUCCGGAAUUAUUGGGCGUAAAGCGCGCGCAGGUGGGAUCUUAAGUCCAUUUUGAAAGUUCGGAGCUCAACUCCGAGAUGGGAUGGAAACUGGGAUUCUUGAGUACCGGAGAGGAAAGCGGAAUUCCCCGUGUAGCGGUGAAAUGCGUAGAUAUGGGGAGGAACACCAGUGGCGAAGGCGGCUUUCUGGACGGUGUCUGACACUGAGGCGCGAAAGCCAGGGGAGCGAACGGGAUUAGAUACCCGGGUAGUCC
rnacentral:rRNA from 1 species